rnacentral:rRNA from 1 species
AAUCAACGCUGGCGGCGUGCCUAACACAUGCAAGUCGAACGAGAAAGUGGGGGCAACCCUGCGAGUACAGUGGCAGACGGGUGAGUAACACGUGAACGACCUACCCUUGAGUGGGGAAUAACACCGCGAAAGCGGUGCUAAAACCGCAUAAAAUCCUUUUAUCGAAUGGUGAAGGGAUCAAAAGCGCAAGUUGCUUGAGGAGGGGUUCGCGGCUGAUUAGCUAGUUGGUGAGGUAACGGCCCACCAAGGCAACGAUCAGUAGCCGGCCUGAGAGGGCGAACGGCCACACUGGAACUGAGACACGGUCCAGACUCCUACGGGAGGCAGCAGUGGGGAAUUUUGCGCAAUGGGCGAAAGCCUGACGCAGCAACGCCGCGUGGGGGAUGAAGGCCUUCGGGUCGUAAACUCCUGUCGAUGGGGACGAAAGCCUAGCAAUAGGAUUGACUGUACCCGUUGAGGAAGCCACGGCUAACUCCGUGC